ACGUAGGGAACCUGCCCAUGCGGCCGGGACAACUUCCGGAAACGGAUGCUGAUACCGGAUAAGGAAAGCGAAGGCAUCUUUGCUUUGUUAAAGGAGCUGCAAGGCUCCGCGCAUGGAUGGACCUGCGGUGCAUUAGCUGGUUGGUGAGGUAAAGGCUCACCAAGGCGACGAUGCAUAGCCGGCCUGGGAGGGCGAACGGCCACACUGGGACUGAGACACGGCCCAGACUCCUACGGGAGGCAGCAG
rnacentral:rRNA from 1 species